rnacentral:rRNA from 1 species
GAUGAACGCUGGCGGCGUGCCUAACACAUGCAAGUCGAACGGAGUCCAGCCUUUAAGUCCUUCUGGUCAAUGGGGGGUAGCCUGCGUGGCGGACGGGUGAGUAACACGUGGGCAACCUGGCUCAUAGAGGGGGAUAACAGAGAGAAAUUUCUGCUAAUACCGCAUAAGCACACACUGCCGCAUUGCAGAGGGUGACAAGAGAAUCGGUAUGAGAUGGACCCGCUUCUGAUUAGCCAGGUGGCAGGGUAAGAGCCUACCCAAGCGACGAUCAGUAGCCGAGCAGAGAGGAUGAACGGCCACAUUGGGACUGAGACACGGCCCAAACUCCUACGGGAGGCAGCAGUGGGGGAUAUUGCACAAUGGGGGGAACCCUGAUGCAGCGACGCCGCGUGAGUGAAGAAGUAUUUGGGUAUGUAAAGCUCUAUCAGCAGGGCAGAUAAUGACAGUACCUGAAUAAGAAGCCACGGCUAACUACGUG